UGGGGAAUAUUGCACAAUGGGCGCAAGCCUGAUGCAGCCAUGCCGCGUGUGUGAAGAAGGCCUUCGGGUUGUAAAGCACUUUCAGCGGGGAGGAAGGCGAUAAGGUUAAUAACCUUGUCGAUUGACGUUACCCGCAGAAGAAGCACCGGCUAACUCCGUGCCAGCAGCCGCGGUAAUACGGAGGGUGCAAGCGUUAAUCGGAAUUACUGGGCGUAAAGCGCACGCAGGCUGUCUGUCAAGUCGGAUGUGAAAUCCCCGGGCUCAACCUGGGAACUGGAUUCGAAACUGGCAGGCUAGAGUCUUGUAGAGGGGGGUAGAAUUCCAGGUGUAGCGGUGAAAUGCGUAGAGAUCUGGAGGAAUACCGGUGGCGAAGGCGGCCCCCUGGACAAAGACUGACGCUCAGGUGCGAAAGCGUGGGGAGCAAACAGG
rnacentral:rRNA from 1 species